GGUCCCUUCUUUUAUUUCAAAAUUAUUUUCUUAAGGACAACUUGUCUUUAUCAUUUCAAAAUCAUUUACUUUAAUAAUUAUUAUUAACAAAAAAAUUGAGGCAGUUCAAGUUUAUGAUAUAAAUACUAAAGUGCAAAGAUCAUCAAAUUACACAACCCUGCCUUUAUUACUAAACUCAACCCUUUAUAUUAAUAAUGUAUUCUUUCCAAGCCAAACUUGUCACCCGGUCCCCUUGCUUCAGAGGUACAUGAAUUAGUUUCCUUUAUUCAUCGACUAGUGAUCGAGCUACCCACACCAAGAAUUACUCAUUACUUUACCUAAACAAGCCAUUCACGGAAAGAAAUUCCUUCUUAGAAGCACUAAUGCGUACAAAGUUGAAUUCUUUGUUGUCAAAAUUAGAAUAUUACUGAACAAUACUGAUUAAAAUGUCAC
rnacentral:misc_RNA from 1 species